GCUCAGCCCCACCAGCGCGUCAUCCAUCAUCAAUGCAUCUGUGGCCAGCAGCCUUGAUUCCUGGCUCAGCCUUCAACGCCCUUUGCCAUACAGCCGCCGCCUGCUGCCCUCGCCAAACCAGUGCUCAAGCACACGUGGCUGCUCAGCCUCCCUGCCUAUGCUCAGGCAGGGCCCUCUGCCAGGAAUUCCUUUUCCUUCUGUGGACGUUCAACCAUCUUUUACACCUAAUGCAAAUGGCAAAAAAUGAGUCACUGCGCCUUCUCUUCGGGUACAGUAGGAUGUGCUGGGUGAGGACGGCCUGUCUUCCUCACAGGGCUGGGAGCUCCCCAUGGGCACAGCCUGGGUCCCAGGUUAUCUCUGUGGUCUCCCGGACUGGCACCAGCCAAGGGUUUAGUAGGUGUUCUGUAACUGUUCCCCAAAAGGCAGAGAAUUUCCAGUUGUCCCAGCACCAGUCUUGCGCACAAUGAAAUCAUCUUUAGAUCUAGGCAUGAAGAUGGCAGACCUACUGUGUGCACUGCACUGUUGGCCACCGAAGGGGACCCAGGGAAGCCAGACAUGUGCCCAUCUUCAAGCAGUUUAUGAUUCCCUGAAAGGUCAGGGUGCAGACAGAACAGAACAGGUUCCCAAAAAGGGAAACUGAGGCCUAGAGAGAGGAUGAGGUGUCUUACAGAGGCAUCCCUGGGCCCAGGGGAAGGGUGUGGAUGGAGUUAGAUUGCCUCAUUCCCACACUAGCUAGCUGGUUAAUCUCUCUGGGCCCCCACUCCUUCACGUAAGGAUGAUGACAGUGCCUGCCCCGCAGGGUCGCUGGGAGGCAUGAAUGAGGUGGUACAUACAAAGUGUUCAAAGUCCAGUACACAGUAAGGGCUCAACACAUCUUAUGCUGGGUGCAGUGGCUCACGCCUGUAAUCCCAGCACUUUGGGAGGCCAACGUGGGUGUAUCACUCGAGGUCAGAAGUUUGAGACCAGCCUGGCCAACAGAGUGAAACCCCAUCUCUACUAUAACAAAAAUUAUCUAGGCGUGGUGGCGCGUGCCUGUAAUCCCAGCUAUUCGGGAGGCUGAGGCUGGAGAAUUGCUUGAACCCAGGAGGCGGAGGCUGCAGUGAGCCGAGAUUGUGCCUCUGCACUCCAGCUUGGGUGACAGAGCGAGACUCCAUCUCAAAAAACAAACAAACAAAAAACAAACAAAAAAACAUCUUAGCUGUGAGUGCCUGGUGGUGUUAGGGAAGCGGGCGCCUGGUAGAGCCAGAGUAAGGCCAUGUUCAAUUUGACUCCAUCUUAAGACUAAAAAGCCACAUUCCUUGCUGGUCACAAGAUAGUCAUGGGAUGUGUACAGUUGAGGAAACAGCCUAAAGAUACCUACAAGGAUGUACUCCUACAUCAGCACAGAGUCCAGGUGUCCCAAUACCCAUAACAGUAUGUGCUUGCAAGAUAAUUAUAGUUACGCUUCAGUAUACUCACACACUAAAAUGUCAAGGAUGGUUUUUGUUUUGCUUUUCAAGAUUGUUUUAUAUUUUAACAGUUUUGGGAAGUACAGGUGGUUUUUGGUUACAUGGGUGAAUUCUAUAGUGAUGAUUUCUGAGAUUUUCGUGCACCCGUCACCCGAGCAGUGUGCACUGUACCCAAUAUGUAGUCUUUCAACCCUCACCCACCCCCCAACCUUCCCCCCAAGUCCCCAAAUUCCAUGAUAUCAUUCUUAUGCCUUUUCAUGUUCAUAGCUUAGCUCCCACUUAUAAGUGAGAACAUAUAAUAUUUGGUUUUCCAUUCCUGAGUUACUUCGCUCAGAAUAAUGGUCUCCAGCUCCGUCUAAGUUGCUGCAGAAGACAUCAUUCCCUUCCUUUUUUUGUGGCUGAGUAGUAUUCCAUGGUGUAUAUUAUAUGUGCCACGUUUUCUUUAAAUCAAUAAAGUAAUCAAUUUUGUCAUGCCGUGCACUCACCUGCAAGUAGACACAGCUUAGCUUAGCUUUUACAUAGACAACACUCCUCUGUAAGAAAAACCUAAAAACAAACCCGGGACGGGGGGUCCUCCUCUCACUUUCUGAGGAUGCUCUACUCUGUAACUAACAGGGUAGCUUUCAGUCAACCAUCCCUUCUUACUGCACUCCAGAACUUGCUUUGAAUUCCUUCCUGUACGAAAUCCGAGAACCCUCUCUUGGGGUCCGUUUCAAGACCCUCUUUUCUGGUAACAAUGGCAUAUCCACUUCAGCCCCCUUGGCUAGCAGAGCAACAAGAGGGAGCCCAAACUGGGGCCAGCCCAUCAGAAAAGGGGGUUAUCUGCCCCAAACAAGACAUCUCUGAGCCAAUCCCAGGGCAGAGCCAACCCACAGAGCCCUGAAGAGUGUUGUCAGCUGCAGCACAUUUGAAAUCACUUAAAACACACAACUAGGGAGUGGGGCGGGGUGGGGGCGUGGAGAAACAGCAAACACAUUUUCCAUCUUCUCAGUUCCCAGCCCGACCCAACAACUGCCCUCCUGGUCCCAAUCGGUUCUCUCCACCCUGCGGAGGGGCAGAUGGGGUAGGUGGGGUCAGCGAAGACAGGACCCAGCAAGAAGGAGCAGCCCAGUGCAAAAGCCUGAAGUCCUGAUACAACCAACGCAGAUGCGUAAAAAAAAAUGCCAUGCUGCGUGGAAGGAGCCAGACACAACAAAGCCAUGCUGCAUGAGCCCACUGACAGGAAAUGUGCAGAAAAGGCAAGACUGCAGAGACAGACCGCAGACGAGUGGUUGCCAGGGGCUUGUGCUGGAUGGGGUGGGGGUGGGGGGGAGUGCCUGCUAAUAGGUACAGCGCUUCCUUCUGGGGUGAGGACAAUGUUCUGGGCUAGAGAGUGAUCCCUGGGCAACUUGGUACAUUUACUAAAAAUUACUGUACACUUCAAAAGAGUGAAUUUUAUAGUCUGUAAAUUAUAUCUCAAUAAGCUAUUGGAGGAGGAGGAGGAAGAAGAAAAAAGAGGAGGAGGAGAAGGUGGAAGAGGAAAAGGAGGGGGAAGAGGAGGAGGAAGAGGAGAGGGGCCCGGUGCAGUGACUCAGGCCUGUAAUCCCAGCACUUCAGGAGGCUGAGGUGGGAGGAUCACUUGACCCCAGGAGUUCAAGACCAGCCUUGGCAACAUGGCCAGACACUGUCUCGAUUUUUAAAAAGAAAAAAAAAGUGCAGAAGGAGGAGAAAAGGGGGGAAGAGAUAAAAAUGGAAGAGGAAGAAGAGGAAAAGGAGGAGAAAAAACAGGAGGAAGAGAAGAGGGAGGAAGAGAAAAGGGAGGAAGAAAAGAAGGAGGUGGAGAAGGAGCAAACCAUGCCAAGGGAUGAGAAAAGAGGGAGAAGCAAGCUAGAAGGUCUUGCCUGGGCACGCGCAGGGUCAGCAGCGCCUAGAACCUGGCUGGAGUGCUCCCUCCCCACUCAGUCAGUGAACAUGAUUGAGCCCUACCAGGAGCUGGGAGCGAAGCUCCCGGGAGCAGGGAUCUGCACUCAGGUAGGCCUGGGGUUCAAAUUGCAACUCCGGCCCUGCCAAACAGUGUCAUCCAGGACAACCUGCUUCUCUUCUCUGUGCCUCGGUUUCUUCAGACAUAAAAUGAGGCUGAGAAUAACAACGACAACAAUCGUGAUAAUUUCCUCCCUCACAGGGCAGCAGUGAGGCAGAGGUCAGAUGAUGUGAGAAAAGCACUCAGUAGGCUGACUGCAACUGCUCAAUCAAUGAAGGCCCUGAGGAUUAAGUGUGGAGCAUUAGGGACAUGAGUGAGGCAGGAUUCUUGCCCUCAGCAGGGCUCACGGUCUGUAGGAGAAGCACUUGGGAAUAAACUACAGCACUAGAGGCUAGAGGGCCUGGAAUGGAGGAGUUCACAGGAUAGGGUGCAACCCAGGAGGGCUUCUUGGAGAAGGUGGCACAGAACCCAGGCUUGAAAUAUGACAAAAUGUCCCUAUUCUCAAGAGACCUCGAGUUCAAGUAGAAGAUUCAGCAUCUCUGGAAAUACAUCUGCUUAAGACAGAAAUGCUGUUUCUAUAUCCAUAAGGUUCUCACUAUGGGCUUGGCUAUCCAUACCCCACACUCUUUUUAGAAAUAAAACAAAAAAUUUUUUUUCCCAAAAAAUACUUUCUCCGGAAGAGAAAAUAUCAUACAUGAAAAUAAAUGGGGCAGCCAGGGCUGUGAAGGCUGCAGAGGAACAUCCUAAGCUCAGCUGGGCGGCUCUGAUGUCAGGUUCACAAAAUAGAAACUGACACGGGGCCCAAAGGGGAGAGCGCACAGUGACACAUCUACCGAAAUUAGUGGGCUGCAUGAAAAGAUGAAAAUCUAAGUAGUCAUGGAAAAUUUGGAUGUUUCAGGUUUAGAAUGGAGGCCCAAAUGUAAAACGGCUUAAAAGCAAAUUAAAAACGAAAUGUGGAAAAUAGACCGUCUCCAUCCUGCCCUCUUGUGGUCAUUUCUGAAUGCUGCACAAGAAAACGAGUGCCUUGUUUCACCUGGGAGAAUGAGGCAGGUAAAACAGAGAAACUGGCGGCCCUGGAUUGAGCCCCCACCUGUGCCACCUGCCCAGUGUCAGAGCCCGGGCCAAGUCACUUCACUUCGCCAGCCCUCAGUUUCCCGUGGGUCUCCCAGAGUUAUGGCAAGGAUCCAGUGAGAUAAUGAGUGUGAAUAACAAGACCUCCGAUACCCAGAGUGUGAACCGAAGGCAGCUGGAAUGUGGCCUGAGCACAUGGUGAGAUGUCACAUUAAAAUCAGGAUCAGGCCAGGCGCAGUGGCUCACACCUGUAAUCCCAGCACUUUGGGAGGCCGAGGUGGACCAUCACAUGAGGUCAGGAGUUUGAGAUCAGCCUGGCCAACAUGGCGAAACCCUGUCUCUACUAAAAAUACAAAAAUUAGCCAGGUGUGAUGGUGCACACCUGUAAUCCCAGCUACUCAGGAGGCUGAGUCAGGAGAAUCACUUGAACUCAGGCAGCAGAGGUUGCGGUGAGCUGAGACCGUGCCACUGCACUCCAGCCUUGGCAACAGAGCAAGAUUCCAUCUCAAAAUAAAUAAAUAAAUAAAAUAAAAUCAGGAUCAUCAGUUCUGCUUGAAAAACUGGAUGAUCCAACCAACAUUCUGGGCAAGGAAGAGCUGGGAUGCAUGGGAAGCUCCUUCCUCCCCACCAUUUGUCACGAAAUCCCCAUCCCUGCCUGGCCUGGCUUCUGGGCACAGCUCCCGAUGCAAAAUCCCCGGGAAAGGGCCUGCAAAUCCGGGUUCCAAGCCCCAAGGUGCCCCGGGUGCCUUGCAGGAGGCCUGGCAUUUAGGAAUCCCCAGAUCAGGGAUUUCUGAGGCAGUUUAGAAGGGACUUUGCCCUCAGAACUCUGCCCCCCAACUAAAUUCUCCAUUUUCCCUCUGAACCCUCCUCUCUGCUCAGUGAUGAGUGGGCACCCUAACAGUGCAGGGGUCCCCUCCCAGGAACUACAUGGGAGGGGCAGCAAGGUACUUUUGCCACACAAGCUGUCCAGCCUCCUGGCCUUGUGCAGGCUGGUACCUGGGAUACCCUUCCUGCCCCUCCCUCUGCCUGGUCAAACUCUACUCCCCCGUCAGGAUCCAGGGCAAGAUGAGUCUUUCUAGUUCCCCUGCCACCAGGCCAAGGAAGAGCCAAUUACUCCCUCUUCUGUCGGGUUAGUUUGUUGUGCAUCUGUCUGUUGUGUGUCUGUCUCCCUUCCUCAGCUGUGGACUCACUCACUCCUUCAUUCAACAAUUUUUUUUUCUUUUGAGAUGGAGUCUCACUCUGUCACCAGGGCUGGAGUGCAGUGGCGUAAUCUGGGCUCACUGCAACCUCUGCCUCCUGGGUUCAAGUGAUUCUCCUGCCUCAGCCUCUCAAGUAGCUGAGAUUACAGUAGCUGGGAUUACAGGCACCCACCACUACACCCAGCUAAUUUUUGUAUUUUUAGUAGAAACGGGGUUUCACCAUGUUGGCCAAGCUGAUCUUGAACUCCUGACCUCAGGCGAUCCUCCCACCUCGGCCUCCCAAAGUGCUGGGAUUACAGGCGUGAGCCACCGUGCCUGGCCCCUCACUCAACAAAUAUUUACCUAGCUUCAACUCUGCACUGAAAACACAAAAGCGAACAAAAGCGUCAAAAGCCCUCCAGUCCUGCAAUUCUCGUUUGGUGGGGGAGGGAUAAGAAGUCAGCAAACAGCCUCCACCCUGAUGAGGGAGGCAGAUAUCAGAAAGACACUGCGCAUGGUAAUGAAGGUGCUGUGAGGGAAUAAUGGGGACCCGGGCCCUUCUGCAGAGGUGAUGUCAGGGAAGGCCUUGCCCAGGGGUGACAUCUGAGUUUAGAGAGGUCCUGAGAAGAGGCCUCACUCAGGUGCUCUGGUCAUCAGUCCCAGGAGCCCAGCCUUCAAGUCAUCCCAGCCCGGGCACCAGACGUAAGUGAUGAGGCUUCCAGAUGAUUCCUGCCCCAGCUGUUCAGGGCUCCCAGCAGAGAAGAGCUGUACCCACAGAGCCCUGCUUGGCUUCUUGACCUGUGGAAUCCAUGACCGUGUUACACCCCUAAGUUCUGGGAUGGUUCAUUAUAACAACAGAUCACCAGACCACGGAACUUACUUCUUCUCUUCUACUCUUCAGGGUGCUAACUCGUUUUUAUAUAAACAACUCAUCCCCAUCCAGACACACACACAAGGCCCUAGAGCAGCAGUUCCUGAACUGUGCCGUAUCCUCCGGGGAUCUCUAAAAAUACUGACACCCAGACAAUAGGGGGGAAUCCUAAAAAUACCUGGCCAAGACUAUUCAAGAUUGUCAAGCUCAUCAAAAAAAAAAAAAAAGUCUGAUGCUACAUCCUGGAUGGGACAUAACAUUAAAACUGAGAAAAUCGGAAUAAACUAUGAACUUUAUUUAACAGAAACGUAUCAGUAUUGGCUCAUUGAUGGUAAUGAACAUGCUAUGCUAAGGCAAGAUGGUGAUGAUAGCUAGAAGCUGGGUGUGGGUGUAUGGGAACUCUCUGUACCAUCAUUCCAAUUUUCCUGUAAAUCUAAAACUGUUCUAAAAAGUAAAGUCUAUUUAAAAAAUACUGAUGCCCAGGCCCUGCCCCCAUGCAUUUAGAUUUAAUUUCUGGGAUGUGACCUGGGCAUCUAAGUUUUGAAAAGCUCCCUGAGUGAGUUCUUUCCAUUUCCAGAAGAAGAAAUCUAGGCUCCAACUGGUGGGGCUGCGUCUGGAAUCUGGAUCCUUCAUCACACCCUGAAGUCUUAAAAACUUUCUUUCUCCAUAACUCAUGUCUGCCACAGGGUGCUAAGACGGAUUUUCAAAGGAGGGAUGAGGCUGGGUGUGGUACCUCAUGCCUGUAAUACCAGCACUUUGGGAGACCCAGACGGGUGAAUAGCUCAAGCCCAGGAGUUCCAGACCAGCCUGGGCAACAUGGCGAAACCCUGUCUCUACAAAAAAUACAAAAAUUAGCCAGCAUGCUGGCGCAUGCCUGCGGUCCUAGGUACUUGGGAGGCCGAGGCAGAAGGAUCGCUUGAGCCCAGGUCAAAGCUGCUGUGAGCCAUGAUUGUGCCACUGCACUUCUGCCUGGGCAACAGAGUGAGACCUUGUCUAAAAAAAAAAAAAGCCCAGCAGAGCGCACUGGAUAUGUGACGUUACCCUUCUGGGCCUCUGUUUUCCUCAUCUGUGAGAUGGCAGCAGUGCGUUGUGAGCUAAUGGGCUAACAGGUGGAAAAGGUUAACACUCUCCUCAGUCUCCUUCCAACAGCGAGGGGAGCCUCUAGAGCCCGCAACCCCGCGCUGUUCCACCAGGGGGCGCGCGCGCGCCAGGAUGCUGGCCUACUCCCACGAGGGAGGCUUUGCAAUGAACAGGUGUCCCUGUCAUUCACUCAUCUCUCUCCUGCGGGCCGGUUGGCAUCCAGCUGGGGGCCCUGCGUGGCCUUGGUCCCUGGGAGCCCACAGAGCCCCGGAGCUCCAGACGGCACUGCUGAAACCGAAGCCAGCCAUCCUUCUUCCACCUGGGGAUCCUGCCCCACUAGAGACACCCUUUCUCCUCCCAAGUUGCAAGGGAUAAGUCCACAGGUCUGGAUUCAAUCCAGCCAUCACUGUUUCUUCACUGCGUGUUGUGGGGCCAGUCACCUCCCCUCUCUGAGCCUCAGGUUCAGAAUCUCUUAAAUGGGCAUCCUCUUGGCACUUCAGAAUAUUGUGAAGUCACUUAGGGGGAAAGUGCCAGGAAAUGGAACUUCAUGUAGAACGUGGGGAGUAUGAAGACGGAUAAUGGGAUAGUGUUUGCACAAUGCUUAGCACAGCGUCUGCCACAUAGAAACUCAGUGUCUAACAUAGUCACAGCAACAACAGCCAACACUUACAAAGCACCUACUAGGUGUCAGGCACUGUUCAUCGCACCUUGUGCAUAGGAGCUCAUUUCACUUCACUGCAUUUCUGUCACCAGGCUGGAGUGCAGUGGCGCAAUCUUGGGUCACUGCAACUCCACCUCCCGGGUUCAAGUGAUUCUGCUGACUCAGCCUCCCGAGUAGCUGGGAUUACAGGCACCUGCCACCAUGCCCAGCUAAUUUUUGUAUUUUUAGUACAGAUGGCGUUUCACCAUGUUGGCCAGGUCUUGAUCUCCUGACCUCGUGAUCCGCCCUCCUCGGCCUCCCAAAGUGCUGGGAUUACAGGAGUGAGCCACUGCGCCCGGCCACUUCACCACAUUUCUAACAAGUAGGCUCUGUUAUAAUCCCAGUCUCAGAGAUGGGAAAAUUGAGGCACAGAGAUGUCAAUCCACUCAAAGUCACAUAGCUGGUAAGUAGCAGAGUUGGGAUUUAAACCCAGGCCAUCUGGCUUAGGAUAUGAGCUCUUUUCUGUAUUCAUCUCACACUUCAAUUUUAAAAAUCUUUUUCCAGGCAACAAAAGAAAAAGUUGGGUGUCAUCAAACUUUAUCAAAGUUAUAAAUUUUGUGCAUCAAAGAAUAUUAUCAAGAGAAUGAAAAGACAGCCCAGAGAAUGGGAAAAAAAAUUGCAAAUAUCUGAUAUGGGAUUAAUAUCCAGAAUAUAUAUAUAAAAUAUUCCACUGGGCGUGGUAGCUUAUGCCUGUAAUCCUGGCACUUUGGGAGGCCGAGAUGGGAGGAACACUUGAGCUCAGGAGUUCGAGACCAACCUGGGCAAUAUGGCAAAACCCUGUCUCUACCAAAAAUACAAAAAAAAAAAAUUAGCCGGGCAUGGUGGCACAUGCCUGUAGUCCCAUGUACUUGGGAAGCUGACAUGGGAGGAUGGUUUGAACUCAUGAGGUGUUGCAGUGAGCCGAGAUCAUGCCACUGGCACUCCAGCCUGGGCAACAGAGCCAGAUCCUGUCUGUCUGUCUGCCUAUCUCUCUCUUUCUGUCUCUCUCUCUCAUUCUCUGUAUAUAUAUAUCUAUGUAUUCCUACAACUCAACAACAAAGAAAAAACAAUCUGAUUCAAAAAUGGGCAAAGGACUUGAACGGACAUUUCUGCCAAAAAGAUAUACAACUGGUCAUUUGGCACAUGAACAGAUACUCAAAAUCAUUAGUCAUUAGGAAAAUGAAAAUAAAUAUCUCAAUGAGCUACCAUGGCUAAUUUUUAAAUUUUUAUUUAUUCAUUGUUUUAGAGACAGGGGUCUCACUAUGUUCAGCCCAGGCUGGUCUGGAACUCCUGGCCUCAAGCAAUCCUCCUAUCUCAGCCUCCUGAGUCACUGGAUGACAGGCAUGAGCCACUGCGCCCAGCCCACAACUUGUUUUUUCAGUCACAACCUUUGAUGAGUUACUUUCAGCAGUCCUUGUGUGGUCUUUCAUUGUGAUUGUUUCCUCCUCAUUUGGACUCGCUGUCAACCAACUGAAAUCUAGAGGGAAUCUCUAACUAGCAUCCAGGAUAUGUUCUUGAGGGGGGCCACCUCACAAGUUCCCAUUUAUUUCAAAGUUGAUUACACUCACAAGGACUACCACUGCUUUCAGCAGAAUCCAAAUGUUUCUCCCCUCCUUUUUCCAGUCUUAAUAACAAAGUCAUCAGGUCCAAAUGCUCUCAAACCUCCCAACCUUUGCCCUGGCAGAUCCUGUAUACAAAGAUGCCGGCAUGACGAUGACACAGCACCAGCCUCAGAAGCAAAGGGCCACAGUUUCACCAGUGAGAGAUGUGGGAAAGUCUGAGCUCAGCAUUAAACCAAACACUGCGGGUGUCCAGGAAGGUCAUGUGGAAGUCAAGUUUAAAGGACCCCAGAUGACGUCCUUUAAAAUUGUAUAGAGCACAAUUUCACGCCUCUAAACCUCUGCCCAUGCUUGUUCCCUCGAUCGGGGCAAACCACUGUUUCCUAGACCAUAGUUACCUGGCAAACACCUGCUCAGCCUUCAAGACUUAGAACUCAGACUCUUUGGUCUCGAACUCCUGCUUCUCAGCUAGCCCUCCCCAGGUGGAGACACCCCCUCCCUCCUCCAGGGAAACUUUACACAAAUUUAAAUUAAAUUAAAGCACAUGACAUGAUCUUUAGUAAAUGUUCAACAAACAGUAGCUAUUAGGGAGCUUCCGGAUACCUGAACACGAGGAGGUUCCUGGAGGGUGGCGUGCCCAGGGAGGGCAUGGAAGCUCUGCGCUCCCUCCCCCAUACCUCGCCCUACGCAUCUCUGCUUCUACAGCUUAUCUUUUCUAAUAAACUGGUAAAUGAAGAGGAAGACAGACCGGAGACAUCUACCUAUCCCCUGCCUCUCACCCUGCAUACACAGAAGAGGCUACGCAAAGACAAAGGAAGGACACAGCUGUCAGCCACGGAGAGGAGCCUCAUUAGAAGCCAGCCUUUCCAGCUCCUUCAUCUUGGACUUCCAGCCUGUGUAUCUGUGAGAAAGUAAAUUUCUGUUGUUUAAGAAAAAAAAAAGAAAAGUAGCUAUUAGAACCCACUGCAAUUAUUUACCUACCUUCUUUUUUAUUUGAGAUGGAGUCUCACUCUGUUACCCAGGCUGGAGUGCAGUGAUGCGAACUCAGCUCACUAAAACCUCCGCCUCCCGAGUUCAAGCAAUUUUCCUGCCUCAGCCUCCUGAGUAGCUGGGAUCAAGUGAUUCUCCUGCCCCUCAGCUUCCUGAGUAGCUGGGAUUACAGGCACGCAACACCACGCCAGUCUAAUUCUUCUUUUUUUUUUGUAUUUUAGUAGAAACAGGGUUUCACCAUGUUGCCCAGGCUGGUCUCGAACUCCUGAGCUCAGGCGAAUCGCCUGCCUAGGCCUCCCCAACUGCUGGAUUUAUAGGCGUGAGCCACUGCACCUGGCCUGUUUACCUACCUUCUUAAUUGUCUAUGCCUUAGUCAUAACUGUAGCCCACUGCCCAGCAUAGCACUUACCACAUGCAGACAAAUAUUUGUCAAAAAAAGGACCAAAAUCCCUAAACACUCUACCUCAGCCCAACUGGUCCCCCAAGCACCCUCCUUUGCCUGUGUGAGUUCUCAGUCCCAAAUGUCUCCCCUCCUACUUCCUGCACCUAACUGGACCCUCCCAGGUCAUUUUCAGACCCCUGGGCUGUGAACUCCAGGAAGCUGACAGAGAAAAUCUCCAGGCCCCAUCAUGCAGGGCCUGGCGCAUAGUAGGCCCAAAAAGAAAUAAACUCAAGACUAAAUGAGCCAGCAUAUGCUCACCAAUAGGUUUCCGGGAUUGGGAGAAAAUUCUAGAGACUACCAGAGGCCCUCCCGCUGGACCAUUGCAGGGAAGCCUCCCAGCUGAUGAAUCUCUGACUUCAUCAUCACAAGAUGGGCCUCCAGGGUAAACUGUGACUCAAGGUCACAGUCCACAACUGAGUCACUGUGUUUUAUGGUCCCUGUGAAAAUGCAGACCAAAGCUCAUUUCCUGGGGAAAAGAGGAGAGGGAGGAAGCCUGAUACAGGACUUGGAUUCGCCAUGUGGACUCGAGGUCCUGAGGGGAACCCUGAAAGGAACAAGGGAGAUGGGGAGAAACAGAGAGCACUGGCCAAGGAGUUACAAAGAUGAACUCCAGCCCCAGCUCUGCCUCUGGAGGCCACAGGACCAUACACAAGACACUUCCCCACACUGGGCCUGUCUCCUCAACUGCAGAAAAACUUCUAAGGCUAUGGAUGUUUGUCUUUCCCAUCAGCUCUUCGGGAGAGCAUAGAAAAAAAAAACCUGGCAGCAAAUAAUAAUAAAAUAAUAAUAAGUCGGGUGCGGUGGCUCACGCCUGUCAUCUCAGCACUUUGGGAAACCAAGGCUGGAGGAAAACUUGAGGUCAGGUGUUUGAGACCAGCCUGGCCAACAUGGCAAAACCUAUCUCUACUAAAAAUACAAAAAUUAGCCUGGUGUGGUGGUGCACGCCUGUAGUCCCACCUACUCAGGAGGCUGAGGCACAAGAAUCACUUGAACCCGGGAGGCAGAGGCUGCAGUGAAUCGAGAUUGUGCCACUGCACUCCAGCCUGGGCGGCAGAGCGAGACUCCAUCUCAAAUAAUAAUAAUAAUAAUAGCUGCUAUGAUUUAUGAAGCCAUUUCUCGGUGUCAGGCACUGUGCUAAGAGCUUUGUAAGCAUCAUCUCAUUUGGGCUCUGUCCUCCCACCGGGCUACACGUAAGACGAGUGGAAAGUUCAGCAGACACUUAAGAGCAUGGACUGCAGACCCAGAACUUGGAAGAGACAUUUAAUGGCUCUGAGCCUCAGUUUGCCCAUCUGUGAAGUAGAAAUAAUAGCAGUAUCUACACGACAUGUAACGAUAGUAAGUGUUAGGCUUUGUUAUUGCUAUCACUAUCCACUUUAUAGAGGAGGAAAAGUGAGGCCCCGAGUGGUAAACUCACUUGCUCAAGGCCUCUAGCAAGUGGCAGGAUCUGUAGUUCAGCAACCGUGGGCAGGGCUAUGCAAAUCAGCAGGGCAUUGGCCUGGCAGGUCCCAGGCACCCUCUGCAAGACAGCAGCAACACAGCAGCUGAUGGCCAACCCCAGGCUGAGCAAAUAUCACAUUCUCAGCUCCAGGAGGAGUCCCAGGGCUCAGGGUCUCUCGUUUCCUCAUGUAGCUAAUGCACGGAGUGCUGCAGGCCCAGGGGAGAGAGGAGCUGGCAGGGGCUGG
rnacentral:antisense_RNA from 1 species